rnacentral:rRNA from 1 species
UUCAGGGGUAAACCUGAGAAACCCGAAAGGUCGAAAGGGGAAAUUCAUUCGCGUCUCGACCGUCGGAGCGGAACGUUCGCGUGACGGACGCGGCGUGCGCAAGUACGUCGAGUCCGCGCCUUUCGUUUCGCGAAUCGGCGUCGAACGCGUGCACUUUUCCCCUAGUAGGACGUCGCGAUCCGUUGGGUGUCGGUCUAAGGCCCGCGGCGGAGCCCGAACGCUCGCCUCACGGCGUGUAGCGUUAGGACCCGCGGUGUCCCGGCCGGCUCGCUCGACGGUAUACAGAUGGCGCGGGGCCGCUAUCUUUCAGUUAGCGUUCGGCCCGCGGCAAGCGCGUUCGCUCGCGACGGCGAUCGGACCCGGUGCCGGUCCUGUCCACGGACGACUGUUGGCCGCGGUGUUUUCUCGAACAGACCUCGUCUCUCUCGAAACGCCGAUCUGCGACGCUAUAGCUUUGGGUACUUUCAGGACCCACGGACCAAGGAGUCUAGCAUGUGCGCGAGUCAUUGGGACAUAACUAAACCUAAAGGCGCAAUGAAAGUGAAGGUUCGCCUCGCGCGAGCCGAGGGAGGAUGGGCGGUACGCGCGUCUCGCGCGCGCGUCCGCCCCGCACUCCCGGGGCGUCUCGUUCUCAUCGCGAGAAGAGGCGCACCAAGAGC